UUCUUUCCGUGCUCCUGUGCGCGGCUGCCGGCGACGAGAGUCACCGAUUUCUGGUCGGGGAAAAAGACUCUGUUUUUGAUCUAUUUUCUUUGAAAUUUCCGACGCCGGCGAUCGGAAUUGAUCGCUGGCCACGCUCCUCCGUGACCGGGGGAGUGGCCCCCGUCGGCCGCCGGCCUCCGCCGCGGUGGCCGUGGCCUGA
rnacentral:lncRNA from 1 species